UGUGUCUUUCUUUCACCUUUAAAAAGUUCGCUCGCCGGGAUCAAUUUAUCAUCUUAUAUUUAUGCACCGGAGCGCACAGAAACAAACUCAAACCACACACACACACACACUCACCCGGACCUACCUUCCUUCGACAAGUGUCCGCUACAUGAACUUUGCAUCACCAACUACCUAUGCUAGCUUGCCGACUCUCGCACUACCUUGCUCGCCAAAGCAGCUUCAAACCACGAACCCAGGAUCGAUCGGUGAAAAUCGGAAAAGUUUAACCGCAUGAAAUUGGAUGGCGAACCAGCAGUAGCAGCCCGGUAGGUUGCGCUGAGGUACCGUCCCGGACCAGUCCCAGAAGGCGAGCUAUUUCGGGAAGUCCUGGUUUCGCCCGGGAAUCAGGCAGGCAAACCGGGCCACUGUUCAAUGCAACGGCCUGCACCGCUACAACCCAACUGCUUGUUAUUAUGUAUGUAAUUGGUCAGCAACAUAUUAUGGUUGGGCGUAAAACUAGCUCUCCGGUUGGUAGUGGCCCGAAACCGAUCAAGACCGAUGACCGAAUGCGUCCGGGGUUAAGUUCGGAGGGAUCAGACCGGUAACACACACACACACACUCGAACGGGCCUUGCCGACAAGUCGAAUGUCCUCAAUGUUCGCGUCCAGCAUUCAAGACGAUGCGAGGUGAGUGAUUAGUGGAUGGUCGGACAUCAGCAGGCAAGCAACACCGACGCUGAUGGAUGGGUUUUUGGGGAGCUCAAGGUGUGAGUGUGGGAUGUAAAUUUAUCUAGAAAGGUUUUGUGGAUCCGUCCAUUUUCCAUUUUUAAGUAGCAGCAGCAGCAGCAGCACCGUCGAGACCGGUCUUCAUGUCGUUAGUCGGAAACAACAGUAGGCUGCCUGUUAGUUUGCUGAUGAAGGUGAUGAUGGGAUGCAAAAUCGGAACUAUUUUGUGACUGAGUGGGUGUGUGCGAGUGUGAGUGUAAGGAGCUGUACAGUGGCAGAGGAAAUAACGGCACCGACCUUCACACGACGGGUCCGCGGUUCAAACCCCAUCCAGACCGCCUAACCGCACUAACUAUCCAGCACUCACAACCGUUGUUCUUACAACUACAACCACCAUCCGAUCAACGUCGAACACAUCCUCUCGACCGCCCACCCGAAAACGCACAACCGAAAUGAGGUGAGCCGGAAUUGCUUUUAGCUGUUUGUGUUGUUGAACAAAAUACUGCUUUCAGAACGGAUUUUGCUUCCCCUUUUCUUUUUUUCUUCACCCAUCCCCAACGUUCGCUUGUGUCUUGUGUGUAAGUAGCAUAAAUGUGCGUAACACAUGUUACGUAUCCCGCACACAGCUUCAUCCAUUUGCAGCCAGCGCCACCCUGUUCCUUCCAGGGCCGGCUGGAGCGUCAAGAAACCGAUGUUCGGUGGGAUAAAGGAUUAACGUCGUUCCUUCCGGGCGUGGAGAUGGUUCUUCGGCUCUUUUCAUUCUCCAACUCAAACCCCGCUCUGGCUCGAACUAGCAGCCGAGACCGUGCGUGCGAAGACAAUAUAGAAAUUGUAAUAAAAUUGUAAUUUUAAAAGUGUUUUGCUCCGUCCCCAUCGGCAUACAUCGCUACAUUUGUUUUUUCGAGCAGUGUAUGCGCCCCGUUAUUCUUUUAUUUACCGGAAGAUGAGGUUCAUUUUCUUCUUCUUCUUCCCGCCUCUCAAGGAGUUUUGCGAAAUCGAAAAUCCAUUGCACAGCAUCCUUGGAAAUCCGUGAUGGAAUUUUGCUGCUGCUGCUGCCGAAGUAGAAGUGUCAUCAGCAACUUUGGUUCAUCUAACUACGCUGAGCGAGUGUUUAUUUUUUGUCUCACUCUCUAAAUGCUGCAUGCUGCCUUCAUUGAAGGUUUUUUUUAUUCAGAUUUUUUUAAACCAUCGUUUCCCAACUGUUCGCUCGUGAAAAUCGGUUGCAUUCACACGCUUGCAGUUCGCGUACGAGCAAAUCAUUCCACGCUCGGGAGCUUCUAGAAUGGGAGGUUGCGCUUAAGCGAUUUUCUCGACCCUGCGUUUUGCAUACAGUUGAAAAGCGGUCCAGAAAGAAGGAAAAAAAUUCUCCAUUUUGAAGCAAGCUUAAGCUGAAAAAAAACCCAGCCCACACACACACAGAGCUACCAUCUUCAACUAGCAAAACGAGCGACAAGUUCAGUUGGUAACAUCAUUAAAAGUCACUUUUAGCACAAACAUUAUCCUUUCUGCUAUUUUUAUUUGCACUUCACCAACAAAAAAAAAACCCAUCUCAGAUUUUACAUUUCAUCAAAACGCGUUUUUCGUGUGGGGUGAAAAAAAGAGCCUUGGAAACGGAAAAUCCCAUCAGCUUUGGGGCAACAGUAAACCGGGAAUGCUUUCACGC